rnacentral:lncRNA from 1 species
AGACCCAAAGCUUGAUAUUCACUUUCAAGUAUAACAACACAUUGGACCGAGUAUUCAGCCCUAAACUCUCUACUAUAUCGCCUGCUCAAAAUGGUUCGGUUAGUGAUUUUCACAUUCUAUUUUUUUUUAAUUGCACUCAUUUUUAUCUUUAUUAGAUAAAUUUAUCCGAAUAUUCAAAACCCUACAAGCUAGAAUGAUGGGAAAACGGCAUUCUGAUAAAUACCAUUUUAAUAAAUAUUUUAUUAAAAAGUAAAACGACUGUAUUAAAUCACUCUAAGUGGCGUACAACUUCGACUUAGAAAGGGUGUAUAUAUGUGAAGCUACAUUGACUUGGGCACAUUGGUUUCUCAUACCCAUUUUGUCCUCCAUCAAGUUAGGAAGAAAGAGGUCGUUAGGACCAUGCUUUCCCAUGUGGGGAGGGAAUGGAGAAACAGAGGGAAAUGAAGGGUGAAACAAGGCCAUGUAACACCAAAACUAAACUCUUAUAAAAAUCUGGGGCUUCAGAUCCUAUGUUAUCAGUUCCCUCCAACUAUAGUUCAUUUGUUUGUGCUUCCAUGUAUUUUGGCUUUUCAUGGAGUAGGUCACUAACCUUUUCUUUUUAUUCCUAAACAAAGAUUUUUGCCUUUGGAUGUUUGCAUGACUCACUUGAUCCAAGAUCAUACCAUAUAUAUAUAUAUAUAUAAAGAAUUAUAGUAUACUGAGUAUGUUCAAUCAUUAGGCGAGUUAUAAAAAAAUCUCAAAAAUUCAUGUAGUAAAAAGGUCAAAUUAUACAAAGGUUUAAUAAUUAAAAUAAGCCUCAUUUGAUGCUUGAUCUGAGGCUGAGGAUCUGUUCGGUUUCUAUUUUCAGAAUCAACUUUAUAGAAAUCUUUUCAGAAAUUUGUUUGAUAGACGAUUUAUAAAACCUUUUUCUGGAAAUUUUUUUGCCAAAAAAACUCAUUUUUAAAAUCAUUUUUGAUAAUAAAAAGGUUAAGAUGUGAACAUCAUGAUUAUAUUUUUGUUUUUUUUUUUUUUUCCAAACUACUAUGAACAUUGCACCCAAUGAUUAGUUUUGUGCACUUAAAUUAGGGGUUGGGUGAAAACUUUGAGGCAUAUGAAUUGUCCAUCCUCCAACAUUCCUCAUGAAUGCUUCUACCCCCCAUUGGUUGGAUAAACAAAAAAAAAACAAAAUAAAAUUGGUUUUGACUACUUUUUAUAGGAAGAUCUCACCUUUGACUCUUGAGUGUUCAUUCUCUUUUUCACUUGCCAUGAAUUCAAGGGAAUUGCUUUACCAAAACUCAGAAAUCUUGGGAGAAUUUGUGCUUAAAGCUGUGUUUGGAGCGACGAUAUGAUGAGGAAAAAGAAAAAAGGUUGAGAAUCUAAUAGUUCAGAAGAGUUAAUUUAACUUUUCUAUUAUUCUUUUUUUUUUUUUCUCACUAAAUUCGAUCUUAUUCAAACACAGCCUAAGUAUGGAAAAGACUUGUAAAUAGACUAUAACAAGCUUCUAUUGUUUUUAUUUUCUUGAAAAUGGGAUUAAAUAACCAGACUCAAUUGUGCAACUAAUUAAGGCUACAUUUGGAUUAUGAAUUUAUGGAAAGAUUUAUGAAGGAAAACUAAUUAAAAACAGGGUAAUGCUAUAGUCAUCGCAAUGUUUAUCGUAUUUGUUAUCACACCGUACUAAAAUAACGUCGUUUUGGUGCAGAAAAACAAAAACAACGUCGUUUAACUAAAAGCCGCAUUUGUUUAAAAAAUCAAAACGACAUCGUUUUUAUUUUUUUACACCAAAACGACGUCGUCGGUAACAAAUGCGGUAAACAUUGCAGUAACUGCAGUAUUACUCUUAAAAAUAAUUAGAAAAUCGAAGGGGCGGGGAAAUGACUUCAUCAACAAUACCUACUAUCAAUCAAGUGAAACUAUUUGGUACUUGGAAAAAUUCCAGCUAGUUUUUAAGUGAAAAUAUUCAUUUUAGGGUUUUACAAAAUGGGUUAAUGGCUUAAUUCAAUUAUUUAUUAGAGAUUGGGCUUUGCAAGAUAGAGAAUUUUAUUUAUCCCACCAAGGUUCACAAAUCAAACAUAUAAUGAGGGGCAACUCACAGCAUGCCAAGAUUUAACCACCUUGUUGACAAAAGUAAAACAAGAUAAUGAGCCCUAAACAAACUUUGUUUUUCAUGGUGUGUGGGGAGCAAAAUCAAUUCAAACCAAAACAGAGAAUUAUAGAUUAUGGGGACACCAAUCUGCAAAAAAGCAAGCAUCAGAUUUGGCAACAAGCUAAAGAAACCAAAAAUAUCAUUACCGCAAACAGGGUCUUACUUAGCCUCCGUUUGGUAAUGUUUAAAAGUUAAGAUUUUUUUAAACUUACAACUAAAAAAUUCAAAUUUUUUUUAAUUUUUUUGUUUUUUUGACUUUACUUUAACUAAAAAUAAAUAAAAAAGCAAAAACAAAAACAAAAACGCAAAUAAGCCAAUUCUUUCUGCUUUUUUUUGCUUAUAAGUUUAAAAAAGCUAAUCGAAAAGCUGGUACUAAACGGAGCCUUAAUAGGUAAAAAGUUUUAUUUCACGUCAUUUUUUGGGCAUCUCUAACUGUUAAUUAGCUAUAUGGCUAGUUGAAAUUGUACUUUAGCAAUGAAUAGUGUCAAAAUAUACUAUUAAAUUUCAGCAACUUUUUGUAAUUUGCCCAUGAAAAUGACAUAAUUAAGGGAUAAUUGAUUAAAAAUUUAUCAAAAUAAUUUCAAUUUAGUAUAAAGAUAACUUAAAAAAUGCUACUAAAGCGCAUGGAUGUUAUUUGAGGUGAUUUAUGUCCUUGGAAAUAAAAAUUAAUUCUCAAUAACCUUAACUUUAAGCAUUUUUUUAAGUUAUCUUUACACUAGAUUGAAACUAUUUUAAAAAAAUUUUGACCAGUUACCCCAUAAUUAAUCUACCCUCAAUCUCACUAUCAGCUAAAAGCACCCUAUAAGAGGUAAAAUAAAGUAACAAAAUGUAAAAUCAUAAAUAGCAAAAAGUAAGUAAAAGUUACAGCAUUACUAAUCACUGCGUAAUCACCAGAUCAUGAAAAGAAUGGUUCAGUUUGAGGAAAGGGAGACCUUUUAUUAGUAAAGUUACUUUCAUUUUUUACCCAUUUUUUCUUUGAGGAAAGAUGGAGAACUUCAAUACAGUUUUUCCCCUUUUUUUUAUUAACAGUAUUCUAGGUUCUAAAACUCAGACUAUUCUGUUGUCUGUGGCAGUUAGUCUUUCACACUCACAAGAUGUAAACGCCGCAGCAACCAGAAUCGAACGUGGGACCUCUGAGUGUUAGCUCGCAUCCUGGACGCUUGCUCUUGCCAAUACGCUAUAUGACCGGAAGCUAGUGGUGAAAUCCGAACCCAAGACUGAAGUCUUGGUAAAGCUUGCCCUUACCACUGGGCUAAGCCUUGGCUUCAGUUUUUCCCUCUUGUUUGCCAUAGGAUUUUUGGAAAGAGAGAGGAUGGACAAAGGGGCCGACCACAAUCAUAGUAUUUCGUAGAAAAACCAAUUUUUAUAAUAGUAAUAGGUUUAGUAUUUUUUAGUUAUAUACGUUUGUCAUCCUAAUAUUUAAAUACGAUAUUUAGUAUGAUUGUUCGUCUUUCUGAUGUUAAAACUUAAAAGUUUGUUUUCAUACUGAGAGAAAGAGAGAGAGAUGGCAUGAGGUCUACAAAAUCAUUAGACCUCACAUUCAUCAGUCACAUUCAGUGUCAUUUUUCUUUACCAGCUGCAAUCCCGUAGCAAAGGACUUCUCUAUCUAAAAUGAAUCCAGGAAACACUUUCAAACACUCAUGCCCAAUUUGGCCUUAAUUGUUUUUGUUUUUUUUUUUGUCUUUAAGGAAUUUUAUUUUAAAAUUAAAAAAAAAAAGUUUUAUAUUUUCAAAUUCCUGUUAUGAAAUUAUUUUUUCUGUAUUUAGUGAACUUUUUAAUUUUCAAAUUUGAUUAGUUUUUUUAAUAUAUUUUUCUGACUCAUUUCUUCAAGAGAAAUCGAAAAAAUAUAAAAUUUUGAUCUAACGGUAUUAAAUUUUUAUAUUGUAGACUCCUCUCGUCAAGGGAACAAAAAAAAGUAAAAUUUUAAUCAAAAAGCUAAAAAAAUGCUAAAUAUGAAAAAAUUAAAAAUUAAAAUAGCUAAAAAAAUUCAAAAUAUGCUAAACAAACUGGGUCAAUUUUAAAAUGGUUUUCUUUUUCCAAAAUCACCAACCAACCAGAGGAAAAAUUGGGCUCCCUUUUGGUUUUGAUGAUUUAAAGAUCGUCUGGCGGACUAAAUCGAUUUUAGGGUAAAUUUCACUAUUAGUCCCUGUAGUUUUAUUAAAGUUCCACAUUAGUUCCUAUAGUUUCAAUUUAAAUAAUUAAGACUAUAUAAUUUUAAUUUAGUUCCAAUGUAGUCCCUCGUCAAUAACCAUUAACAAGUUUUGGCCAAACUAUAAGGACUAAUGAUGGUAAAAUUACCCUUUACAAAAGGUUAUAUAAACUUUACGUGCUCUUUUUUCAUCUAAAUACUUAACGGGUAUUCAUGAGGGGACAAUAUUAGAAUCAAAUUGAAGUUUUGUAUCCUAAUUGAAAAAUUAAAACUAUAAGAACCUUAUUGAAAAUUUGGUUAAACCAAAGGUACCAAUAGUGAAAUAUUCCCGUAAUUUAUUUUAUUGCGUUGUAUCUGCAACUGUGCACUUUGUUGGAGGGCAAAUGGGAAAAAAAAAGGGCAAGAUAAAUAAUGAAAGAUGAUAAAAUUUUUAAUUUAUUUUGUGUUUUUUAAAAAAAUAGAAGAAAAUAAAUAAGUAUUUGUCAAAAUAUAUUUUAUGUAAGUUCUCCGUAAGGAAAAUUUCAUUUUUUUUCUUGAUAAAUUCAAUACCCAAACUUAAGUCACAUAAAGUACGACCGUAAACAUGAGAACGCUAAUAGUUAAAAUUUCACGAGAUCAGAAGCAUCUGAGAGUGUUGUGUAUACGUACAAAAAAUAUUAUAUGUAAAAAUAUAAUUUCUAUAUAUAAAAGCAAAAAUUAGUUCAAAAUUAGUCAGCAGCGUCGGGGGUU